rnacentral:rRNA from 1 species
CGUAGGGUCCAAGCGUUAAUCGGAAUUACUGGGCGUAAAGCGUGCGCAGGCGGUUUUGUAAGACAGGCGUGAAAUCCCCGGGCUCAACCUGGGAACUGCGCUUGUGACUGCAAGGCUAGAGUACGGCAGAGGGGGGUGGAAUUCCACGUGUAGCAGUGAAAUGCGUAGAGAUGUGGAGGAACACCAAUGGCGAAGGCAGCCCCCUGGGUCGAUACUGACGCUCAUGCACGAAAGCGUGGGUAGCAAACAGGAUUAGAUACCCUGGUAGUCCACGCCCUAAACGAUGUCAACUAGGUGUUGGGUGGGUAAAACCAUUUAGUACCGGAGCUAACGCGUGAAGUUGACCGCCUGGGGAGUACGGCCGCAAGGUUA